UUACGGCUAUAUCACGUUGAAACACCGGUUCUCGUACGAUCCCUGAAGUUAAGCAACAUCAAGCUUGGUCAGUAUCUAGAUGGGCGAACAUUUGGGAGUAACAGAUGCAGUA